GACGAACGCUGGCGGCGUGCUUAACACAUGCAAGUCGAACGGAAAGGCCCUGCUUUUGUGGGGUGCUCGAGUGGCGAACGGGUGAGUAACACGUGAGUAACCUGCCCUUGACUUUGGGAUAACUUCAGGAAACUGGGGCUAAUACCGGAUAGGAUCUCCUGCUGCAUGGUGGGGGUUGGAAAGUUUCGGCGUUUGGGGAUGGACUCGCGGCUUAUCAGCUUGUUGGUGGGGUAGUGGCUUACCAAGGCUUUGACGGGUAGCCGGCCUGAGAGGGUGACCGGCCACAUUGGGACUGAGAUACGGCGCAGACUCCUACGGGAGGCAGAAGGGGGGAAUAUUGCACAAUGGGCGGAAGCCUGACGCAGCAACGCCGCGUGCGGGAUGACGGCCUUCGGGUUGUAAACCGCUUUCGCCUGUGACGAAGCGUGAGUGACGGUAAUGGGUAAAGAAGCACCGGCUAACUACGUG
rnacentral:rRNA from 1 species